rnacentral:sRNA from 1 species
GCUGGGCACGAUGACGCAUGCCUGUAAUCCCAGCAGCUCAGGAGGCUGAGACAGGAGGAUCUCAAGUUCAAAACCAGCCUCAGCAGCAGUGAGACACUGAGCAACUCAGUGAGACCCUGUCUCUA